ensembl:misc_RNA Metazoa_SRP Metazoan signal recognition particle RNA
GCUAGGUGUGGUGGCUCACACCUGUAAUCCCAGCACUUUGGGAGGCCGAGGUGGGUGGAUCACCUGAGGUCAGGAGUUCAAGACCAGCCUGACCAACAUGGUGAAACCCCAUCUCUA